rnacentral:rRNA from 1 species
UACAGAGGUCUCAAGCGUUGUUCGGAUUCAUUGGGCGUAAAGGGCGCGUAGGCGGCGGGGUAAGUCGGGUGUGAAAUCUCAGGGCUCAACCCUGAAACUGCACUCGAUACUGCUCUGCUUGAGGACUGGAGAGGAGACUGGAAUUCACGGUGUAGCAGUGAAAUGCGUAGAUAUCGUGAGGAAGACCAGUGGCGAAGGCGGGUCUCUGGACAGUUCCUGACGCUGAGGCGCGAAAGCGUGGGGAGCAAACAGG